GACGAACGCUGGCGGCGUGCUUAACACAUGCAAGUCGAACGAAGUGGCGAACGGGUGAGUAACGCGUAAUCAACCUGCCCUUCAGAGGGGGACAACAGUUGGAAACGACUGCUAAUACCGCAUACUGAAGGAGGGGAUUGCGUCGGGUUAGCUAGUUGGAGGGGUAACGGCCCACCAAGGCGAUGAUCAGUAGCCGGGCUGGGAGGAUGGACCGCCAAAAUGGGACUUGGGCACGGCCCAGACUCCUACGGGAGGCAGCAGGGGGGAAUCUUCCGCAAUGGACGAAAGUCUGACGGAGCAACGCCGCGUGAGUGAUGACGGCCUUCGGGUUGGAAAGCUCUGUUAAGCGGGACGCGGUACCGGAAGAGAAAGCCACGGCUAACUACGUGCCAGCAGCCGCGGUAAUAC
rnacentral:rRNA from 1 species